GAACUGCUGCUAGAUCAUA
rnacentral:rRNA from 1 species